rnacentral:rRNA from 1 species
UACGGAGGGGGCAAGCGUUAUCCGGAAUGAUUGGGCGUAAAGCGUCCGCAGGUGGCAAUGUAAGUCUGCUGUCAAAGCGUCUGGCUCAACCAGAUAAAGGCAGUGGAAACUACAUAGCUAGAGUAAGGUAGGGGUAGAGGGAAUUCCUGGUGUAGCGGUGAAAUGCGUAGAGAUCAGGAAGAACACCGGUGGCGAAAGCGCUCUGCUGGACCUUAACUGACACUGAGGGACGAAAGCUAGGGGAGCGAAUGGG